rnacentral:rRNA from 2 species
UACAGGCUUAACACAUGCAAGUCGAGGGGCAGCAUGGUCUUAGCUUGCUAAGGCCGAUGGCGACCGGCGCACGGGUGAGUAACACGUAUCCAACCUGCCGUCUACUCUUGGACAGCCUUCUGAAAGGAAGAUUAAUACAAGAUGGCAUCAUGAGUCCGCAUGUUCACAUGAUUAAAGGUAUUCCGGUAGACGAUGGGGAUGCGUUCCAUUAGAUAGUAGGCGGGGUAACGGCCCACCUAGUCUUCGAUGGAUAGGGGUUCUGAGAGGAAGGUCCCCCACAUUGGAACUGAGACACGGUCCAAACUCCUACGGGAGGCAGCAGUGAGGAAUAUUGGUCAAUGGGCGAGAGCCUGAACCAGCCAAGUAGCGUGAAGGAUGACUGCCCUAUGGGUUGUAAACUUCUUUUAUAAAGGAAUAAAGUCGGGUAUGGAUACCCGUUUGCAUGUACUUUAUGAAUAAGGAUCGGCUAACUCCGUGCCAGCAGCCGCGGUAAUACGGAGGAUCCGAGCGUUAUCCGGAUUUAUUGGGUUUAAAGGGAGCGUAGAUGGAUGUUUAAGUCAGUUGUGAAAGUUUGCGGCUCAACCGUAAAAUUGCAGUUGAUACUGGAUAUCUUGAGUGCAGUUGAGGCAGGCGGAAUUCGUGGUGUAGCGGUGAAAUGCUUAGAUAUCACGAAGAACUCCGAUUGCGAAGGCAGCCUGCUAAGCUGCAACUGACAUUGAGGCUCGAAAGUGUGGGUAUCAAACAGGAUUAGAUACCCUGGUAGUCCACACGGUAAACGAUGAAUACUCGCUGUUUGCGAUAUACUGCAAGCGGCCAAGCGAAAGCGUUAAGUAUUCCACCUGGGGAGUACGCCGGCAACGGUGAAACUCAAAGGAAUUGACGGGGGCCCGCACAAGCGGAGGAACAUGUGGUUUAAUUCGAUGAUACGCGAGGAACCUUACCCGGGCUUAAAUUGCAGAUGAAUUACGGUGAAAGCCGUAAGCCGCAAGGCAUCUGUGAAGGUGCUGCAUGGUUGUCGUCAGCUCGUGCCGUGAGGUGUCGGCUUAAGUGCCAUAACGAGCGCAACCCUUGUUGUCAGUUACUAACAGGUUCCGCUGAGGACUCUGACAAGACUGCCAUCGUAAGAUGUGAGGAAGGUGGGGAUGACGUCAAAUCAGCACGGCCCUUACGUCCGGGGCUACACACGUGUUACAAUGGGGGGUACAGAGGGCCGCUACCACGCGAGUGGAUGCCAAUCCCCAAAACCUCUCUCAGUUCGGACUGGAGUCUGCAACCCGACUCCACGAAGCUGGAUUCGCUAGUAAUCGCGCAUCAGCCACGGCGCGGUGAAUACGUUCCCGGGCCUUGUACACACCGCCCGUCAAGCCAUGGGAGCCGGGGGUACCUGAAGUGCGUAACCGCGAGGAGCGCCCUAGGGUAAAACUGGUGACUGGGGCUAAGUCAUAACA